AUUGAACGCUGGCGGCAGGCCUAACACAUGCAAGUCGAGCGGAUGAAGUGAGCUUGCUCCUGGAUUCAGCGGCGAACGGGUGAGUAAUGCCUAGGAAUCUGCCUGGUAGUGUUGGAUAACGUCCGGAAACGGGCGCUAAUACCGCAUAAGUCCUUAGGUAGAAAAUGGGGGAUCUUCGGACAUCAAGCUAUCAGAUGAGCCUAGGUCGGAUUAGCUAGUUGGUGGGGUAAAGGCCUACCAAGGCGACGAUCCGUAACUGGUCUGAGAGGAUGAUCAGUCACACUGGAACUGAGACACGGUCCAGACUCCUACGGGAGGCAGCAGUGGGGAAUAUUGGACAAUGGGCGAAAGCCUGAUCCAGCCAUGCCGCGUGUGUGAAGAAGGUCUUCGGAUUGUAAAGCACUUUAAGUUGGGAGGAAGGGCAGUAAGUUAAUACCUUGUUGUUUUGACGUUACCAACAGAAUAAGCACCGGCUAACUUCGUG
rnacentral:rRNA from 1 species